rnacentral:rRNA from 1 species
AGUCACUGACAUUAGAUACCCGCGUAGUCCAGGGUGUAAACGCUGCGGGCUUGGUGUUGGGGGUCCUUAGUGGGCGCCCAGUGCCGGAGAGAAGUUGUUAAGCCUGCUGCUUGGGAGUAUGUCCGCAAGGAUGAAACUUAAAGGAAUUGGCAGGGAGCACCGCAACGGGAGGAGCGUGCGGUUCAAUUGGAUUCAACGCCGAAAAACUCACCAGGAGCGACGGAUAUAUGAAGGUCAAGCUGAUGACUUUACCUGAUUUUCCG